rnacentral:rRNA from 1 species
UGGGGAAUCUUGCACAAUGGGGGAAACCCUGAUGCAGCGACGCCGCGUGUGCGAUGAAGCCUUUAGGGGUGUAAAGCACUUUCGGCAGGAACGAUAAUGACGGUACCUGCAGAAGCAGCUGCGGCUAACUACGUGCCAGCAGCCGCGGUAAUACGUAGGCAGCAAGCGUUGUUCGGAAUUACUGGGCGUAAAGAGUAUGUAGGCGGUGCUGUAAGUUUGGUGUGAAAUCUCCCGGCUUAACUGGGAGGGUGCGCCGAAAACUGCAGUGCUUGAGUAUGGGAGAGGAAAGCGGAAUUCCUGGUGUAGCGGUGAAAUGCGUAGAUAUCAGGAGGAACACCUGAGGUGUAGACGGCUUUCUGGACCAUAACUGACGCUGAGAUACGAAAGCGUGGGUAGCAAA